UACGUAGGGUGCGAGCGUUAAUCGGAAUUACUGGGCGUAAAGCGUGCGCAGGCGGUUAUGUAAGACAGAUGUGAAAUCCCCGGGCUCAACCUGGGAACUGCAUUUGUGACUGCAUAGCUAGAGUACGGUAGAGGGGGGAUGGAAUUCCGCGUGUAGCAGUGAAAUGCGUAGAGAUGUGGAGGAAUACCGAUGGCGAAGGCAGCCCCCUGGGAUAACACUGACGCUCAUGCACGAAAGCGUGGGGAGCAAACAGG
rnacentral:rRNA from 1 species